GGUAGAGGAAUCAAGAACGAUAGGGCAUUGAUUUAAGGUGAAAGUGAGGAGUUUUCAUACAAGAGUAGUUGGUAUCUGGAAUGAGUUGCCAGAGGAAGUGGUGGAAUCAGGAACUGUAAAAACAUUUGAGAGGCUUCUGAACAGGUACUUGAAUGAGCAUGGCAUAAAGGGAUAUAGAAUUAAUGCAGGC